AUUUUGUUUCGAUCUCGGCGGUUGGAGAAGUACUGUUGAGCUAGUUCAUUCCAAUUUUUUUGAAAAAAUGAAUUUUGAACCUAAAAAGAUUUUAUCUGGCAUCAAAUUAUCUAGUAAAUAUUCGGCAAGUCUAAAGUGCAAUGAUUUUCGUCAAUUUUUUACGUGUCCAAAGUGUAAAAUUAAAAGAUGCAAACGUGCUCGCGAAGGCGUCGUUCACAUGGUUAUCGCCCCGAGUGCGGAGCAUGGUGCUUUUCGUGGAAAGGAUGAACUAACAUAGGAAUCAGGAACAGAAAGAACUUCGUGCCACGAAUUUUUGAAGUCUAGGAAAGAGUAUGGACUCUAAAAUCGAAAGGGACUCCUGCCACGUGUUUCCCAAUUUCAUUGAAUAGAAUAUUCAGACUAUAAACUCUGAAGGGACCACUAUGUACCACGUACUUUUCAGUUUAUCUAAACACAAUAUUUGAGUGAUCUCUUUGGAAUCUGGAGGCAGUUGUAAAUUUGGACAAGAUGCAGUUAAUUUAGUAGGCAUUUUAAUCUUCGAUUUUUAAUGAACGUCUGCAUUUGAGAAAUACGAAUGAUAUUUUAAGUGAAGAUCUCAUGGAAAGAACUUCAGCAACAAAAAUGUGUGCUUCUGAAGUUCAACAUGUUUUGCUAUAUAGUGAGAAUUCAAGUCAUUCGCUAUUCUAAAAAUGUUAUUUUAGAGCAGAAUGUUCCCUGUUAUCUCCUUUGACUCUAGAAUAAAUAUUUCAAUAUACGGAAUCUAACACAGAAUAACAGCAGUGGAGGUCUGAAGACAAUCCAAAUUGAAUAAUAUUUGACGUGGAAGUUUAUGGCGUAUGUCCGCAACUAAAUUUGAUGUUUGGUGGACAACAUCAACUGGGCACCAAUGAGAUUAAGUGGUCACAGUCAACACAAUUUCGCCUUCAUUUUCUGUAUACAAGAUUCCCCGAAUGUUACCUGCAAACCGUAGUUUAGCUGCGAGCAGUUGAGAGUACAUAAUUUUUUUUCAAAGCUGGGCAGUGGCAUUUAUACUAGUACGCAUAGCCUUCGAAACGUUCACAAAUGUAUAAAACUUCUCUGUUUCUAAAAUGGGUAUCUUGAAAUUUGUUUGCUUUUAACUGCAUUAUUUUAGUAGAAACUUAAUGAUGGAAAUUAUAAUACUUAUAUUUUGAUUACAUGUAAAAUAAAAGUUUUCUAUUACAUUAUU